CCUAUCCCAUCCCCUUAUUUGGGGUGUUUCUAUUGUUUUCUAGAAAGAAACAGUUUAAUAAUCCACAUCCUGUCGCCUCUUCCUAACUCUCUUUCAUCCUUGACUCAUCCUCGUAAAACAACCGACUGAAUCUGGAGAGAACACAGCACACCAAAGAAGCAGAGAAUACUGCAAACCAAAGACAUUUAUUACCUGCCAUUUUUUAGCCUACAAAUACUGUGAUUACUUUUAGAGAUCAAAACACCUCUGUAACUCUGAGUGGCAUUCAGCUCUUGACGUGGGCUCACCAUCUGGCCGAGCAAACCAACUCUGUCAAUGACAUUCGCCAAGCAUCCAGGCAGUGGCUUCACCCUGCCAGCUCUGGUUGUCAUUUUCCCAUAGCAAGUGGAAGAGGGCCCACAGAACUCUGGGAGAUUACACAGGUCACUAUGUGCAUAUUUACCAGUGAAUGGCCCCAGGUGGGCACCGUGGGGUGUUCAAAACAAGCCAAACACUGCAAUGAUUCUUUACAGACACUUAAGACUGACUUUUGUAUGAAUUACUUAAUUGAAACCAAAGAAACUUUUUCUGCACCUACUUCUGCAACAAACAAAACUGUCCCAUUAACUGAGUAAAUGAUUCCAGCAAUCACUGGAAAUCACCACCAAGAAAAGCACGCUAGAAUAAAAACAAAAAACCAAAAAACACCGAAGACACACUGUGUUCAAACAGACCUCUUGGGACAUUUUUUUUUUUUUUUUUUUUUGGAAGCAGAUUUGAAAGAAAGGGUUGAGACAAGAAUCAAAAUACAGAAGAGCCUCCGAGGCUGCUGCUUCUUUUGACAACUCACUCGGUAAUCUUAAAGUUGAAGAUUGUCUUUAAUUUGUGCCUAUGCAGUUUUUUCAAAAGAACAUGGAACAGAGCAACAGAAACCUCAACAGCUACAAUACCAAAGAUGAGGAUUCUCACACCUUUUUCUCAGUUCAUUACCUUCUUUUGCCUGGCUAAAAUACUUAUAGCGUCGUUGAUCUGUACAAAGGUAAUUGAUUCUGUUUCUUUGAGCAACAAAAGGAAAGGGUCAUUUGUUUGAUUUUAUUGCUUCCCUUUAGUUUUGUUUUAUGGCUUUUU
rnacentral:lncRNA from 1 species